ensembl:snRNA U5 U5 spliceosomal RNA
UUACUCUGGCUUCUCUUCAACGCAUGAUUCUUUCGCCUUUUACUAAAGAACUCCGUGGAGGGGAGCAUUUCAAUGAGUCUUUGACUGUUUUUCCACACCUGACUUUGGUCAGGAC